rnacentral:rRNA from 1 species
GACCAGGGGGGGGGGGCCAAUAUAGCAAGGUGAGGGACAGAUAGGAGCUGCUCUUUACGUAGCGGCGGAGGGGAGGGCCGGGGUACCUCCUGUAGAGGGGGAUACUUUGGAAAAAGGAGCUAACCGGAUACAUUUGGAACCGCAUGGUCUAAGUGAAAGAUGGUUUUGCUAUCACUUAUAGAUGGACCCGCGCCGUAUUAGCUAGUUGGUAAGGUAACGGCUUACCAAGGCGACGAUACGUAGCCGACCUGAGAGGGUGAUCGGCCACACUGGAACUGAGACACGGUCCAGACUCCUACGGGAGGCAGCAGUAGGGAAUCUUCCGCAAUGGGCGAAAGCCUGACGGAGCAACGCCGCGUGAGUGAUGAAGGGUUUCGGCUCGUAAAACUCUGUUAUUAGGGAAGAACAAACGUGUAAGUAACUUGUUGCACGUCUUGACGGUACCUAAUCAGAAAGCCACGGCUAACUACGUGCCAGCAGCCGCGGUAAUACGUAGGUGGCAAGCGUUAUCCGGAAUUAUUGGGCGUAAAGCGCGCGUAGGCGGUUUCUUAAGUCUGAUGUGAAAGCCCACGGCUCAACCGUGGAGGGUCAUUGGAAACUGGGAAACUUGAGUGCAGAAGAGGAAAGUGGAAUUCCAUGUGUAGCGGUGAAAUGCGCAGAGAUAUGGAGGAACACCAGUGGCGAAGGCGACUUUCUGGUCUGUAACUGACGCUGAUGUGCGAAAGCGUGGGGAUCAAACAGGAUUAGAUACCCUGGUAGUCCACGCCGUAAACGAUGAGUGCUAAGUGUUAGGGGGGUUUCCGCCCCUUAGUGCUGCAGCUAACGCAUUAAGCACUCCGCCCUGGGGGAGUACGACCCGCAAGGUGAACCUCAAUUACUGACGGGACCCCGCACAAGGCGGUUGGAAGCCAAUUGUGUGUGGGCCUUCUA